AAAGUCAGGGGUAGAUAGCCAGAGA
rnacentral:piRNA from 1 species